GAUUGAAUAAGAUUGUUCACUGAAAGAUGGUAAAUGAUUCCCUCCCUUAGGAUUUUCGCCAUGAGCUUGCAGAUGUGUUAUACCUAGCUGAUCGGACAUUAGUUUUGUGCUUAACUCUUUCUGCUUUUUUUUUUAAAUACUGUAAGGGUGAAAUUUUCAUAUUUAAAAUCUCGGGGUACUAUCCCUUGGUUCAGAUAUUUUGUGGAAAGUAUUUUCAGCAGUAUGCAUAGUUCUUCUGUCAGUUUAUUUUCCUUUAUAAUUAAGGUUUGUUUUCUUUUGUACCAUAGAAAGUACCACAGAAAGGUGUUAUAAUGUUGUGUUAGCUUUUCUGUACAAUUUUUCUUUUUUGUUUGUAUAAAAGGCUAUGCAAUGAAUUCAAAUAUUUACGCUACCAAUCCAUUUUUCAGAUAGAUCAUCGGAUUUUGACAGUAUGCUGUACAUACCAGAUGUUCCAAAAAUAACUACAGACAACAAUAAUGAAUUUCACCGGAGAACAGCAGUGAUGACUAGAGAACAUCUUGAACGUGAGUACCAGAAAGCACGUGCUGCAAUGAUACAAAGAAAUGAGUACUUGAAGAGACUCUUAAACGUGGAGGAACCAAACUCAAUAAAGGUGACAAACAAGAAACAGAAAUAAGAUAACAUACAGGAUGUAUCACACAUUAAUUCAAAACAAAGACCAGCUGCACCCCAAUCUGAUGACAUUCUGCCUGCUAUACUUUCACCACCACACAUUCAAAAUGCGGGCUAUUCUACUAGUGGCAGAGCGUACACUCAAAGUUAUUUGGCAGCUGGUGAAGAAACUUUGGAAUCAUUUGAUGUUGGAAUGUCCCAACAUCAUUUGUUGGUAUUUAAAUGAGGGUUUAUUUAAUGGACACACGUCAUAAAUAUUAUGUACAAAAAUUGUGCUUAAUGCCUAUGAAAUUUUGUUUAACAUAUUAUACUAUUCAUUCCUUUCACUUACAAAUUUUUCUUACUAAUUUGCAAUCCCAUAUUUCAAAGUACUUGCUGCAGAAC